GAGCGGAGAACUUUCUAGAGAAGCGGUUAAACGGGUUGAGGCUCUUGGACUGAGGGACUCCAAGUGGCGAGCCUCCCAAGUCCGGGCCUGCCUCGUGGCCGGCCCUGCUCACCCAGGCCCACAGCGGAAUAGCUGGAGACAGGCAGUCAGAUGUGAAGUGGCAAAGAUCGGCCUCCCGUGAUUGUGCCACAGAUGCCCAUGGUUCCAGGCGUGGGCACCUGAGCAGUGUGGGAAAGAGAGGUCGAGGGAUUGAAAGUGUGGGCCCCGUAGGGACAGUUUCAGCCCAGGUGCACAGAUCGGACACAACUUUGCCCUCCCUGCAGCCUGGCAGGCCCACCGCAAAAAUGCCAUGAGCAGAUUUAUAAGAGCCAUAGACUUGUAAGUGGAGGUGAAUAGGAAGGAAGGUUUUCUCAACCUGCUCGCUGCUCCUAUGAGAUGCCUGUGGAGUUCUGAGUCUGUGUGGCUAAAACCAUGAAGUUCUGAUUACCGGAACAGUGCUGGCUUGAUGGAAGAUCUGUCUGGAGAGGUCCUGACUCUGCCCAGCAGUUUAGUACCCAGUUAUACAGCCUGAAUGGCAGCAGCACAGGAAAGAGAGGAACAAUUGAAAACAAAAGAAAAGGAUUCUUCAGAGAAGAAACAGGCCGGGCAGUGGUGGUGCACACCAUUAAUCCCAGCACUUGGGAGGCAGAGGCAGGCGGAUUUCUGAGUUCGAGGACAGCCUGGUCUACAGAGUGAGUUCCAGGACAGCCAGGGCUACACAGAGAAACCCUGUCUCAAAAAACAAAAAAAAAAACAAACAAAAAAAAAAAACAAAAAACAAAAAACAAAAAAGCAGAGAAGAAACAGAAAUGGAAACUAGAACAUGUGGGACAGAUUUUCCUAGAAUGCAAACAAAAAUACUGCUAAAGAUGUUGAAAACAAACAAACAAACAAAAACAGUGAAGUGAAGCGCAUGCAGGGUCGGCGGGAGGACCGGCCUGCUCUGUCCCCUGCUGCCGCAACACUGAGCAGUGGGUUUUGUACUUUCCAGGUUGGAAGUCCUGUUUGCCAUUGGGUUUUUCAGUCCUCAUGCAAAGUGAUGGGUUUCAUUAUGGCCUUUCAUAUAUAGAUGUCACUCUC
rnacentral:lncRNA from 1 species